rnacentral:lncRNA from 10 species
UUUUCCUCACCCCACACUCUCUUGGGUUUCUCAGUCCCUCUCGCCAAUACUUCCUGUUCACUGGCUACAAGCUCUGCGUGGGCCGGUCGUGGGCCGCUCCCCAGGACCGCCGUGGGCCUCACCCCUCUCCCGUCCCUAAGACAUCGCCUGGUCUAGCGCGGUCUCUCUUCUCACCUCACCGCACCGCACCUUCCUCUUGCGCUCCAGACCACGUCUAGCUGCCUAUUCUAAUUUCAUUUUGCUGUUCAGGCAUUUGUUUAAAUUAUGGCAGGAGCACAUGACCUCGGGCAUGGGGGCGCCAAGCAUGCCGGAGUAUCUAGACACAAAGCAGGGCUGGCUGCAUCUCCAACCCCGCCCCACCGUCUGGACUGCUUUCUUUACAUGGAUCUACACACUGUGUGUACAUACGAAAUAAAAUAUACAGUUUUUUUCUAGCGAUGCUGCUUUUUCACAAAUGGAAUCAUACAUAUUUCAUGCGUCGUCUGCAACUUGCUUUUUACAUAUAACACCAUGUCCCGGGAGCUUUCCACGUUGGCCCACUUAGCUCGAUCUCAUUUUCUUUGAUGGCUGCAGAGGCCUCUGCCCUGUGGGGCGAUGCUGCUGUGUAACAAGAUCUCUGCCGGCGAAGAGUUAAGGUGAAUUUCAGUCAGUGUGUCAAAUUCCGUGAAAGAUGCAAUUACAGUUUGGGAUUCCACUGCACAGGGCGCAUCUCGAUCACUUUGGGAGACCGUUGACAUCUUUACAAUGUUAAUUUCCUCAUUCAAGAAGAGAAUGUUUUUCCAUUUACUCAGAAAGUUUAUUUUGUGCCUGCCAAUAAAGGUUUGGUUUUCCUCUCACAAGUUUUGUGUGCAUUUUUGUUUCUUCCAACCUCUGCCCCCAGAUAUUUCACAGUUUUUCUAGCUAUUGUAAAUAGGACAGCUUCUUUCAAAUGGUUAUUUCUUGUGUAUAUAGAAAGACAUGGAUUUUUAUAUGUUGGCCUCAUCUCUGACUAUAUUACUGAAUUCUCUUAUUCAUUUUUUACUGUUUUUUUUUUCUUGGAUUUGCUAGAUAUGAUUAGCUUGUCAGCAAACAACAGCAGGUUUUGCCUCUUUGCAGUAUUUAUA